UGGGGAAUAUUGCACAAUGGGCGAAAGCCUGAUGCAGCAACGCCGCGUGAGGGAAGACGGUUUUCGGAUUGUAAACCUCUGUUUUCGGUGACGAACAAAUGACGGUAACCGAGUAGGAAGCCACGGCUAACUACGUGCCAGCAGCCGCGGUAAUACGUAGGUGGCAAGCGUUAUCCGGAAUUACUGGGUGUAAAGGGAGCGCAGGCGGGAUAGCAAGUCAGCUGUGAAAACUAUGGGCUCAACCCAUAAACUGCAGUUGAAACUGUUAUUCUUGAGUGGAGUAGAGGCAAGCGGAAUUCCGAGUGUAGCGGUGAAAUGCGUAGAUAUUCGGAGGAACACCAGUGGCGAAGGCGGCUUGCUGGGCUCUAACUGACGCUGAGGCUCGAAAGUGUGGGGAGCAAACAGGAUUAGAUACCCUGGUAGU
rnacentral:rRNA from 1 species